AUUGAACGCUGGCGGCCGGCCUAACACAUGCAAGUCGAACGAGUGGCGGACGGGUGAGUAAUGUCUGGGAAACUGCCCGAUGGAGGGGGAUAACUACUGGAAACGGUAGCUAAUACCGCAUACCAUCGGAUGUGCCCAGGUGGGAUUAGCUUGUAGGUGAGGUAACGGCUCACCUAGGCGACGAUCCCUAGCUGGUCUGAGGGGAUGACCAGUCACAUGGGAACUGAGACACGGUCCAGCCUGCUACGGGCGGCAGCAGGGGGGAAGAGUGCACAAUGGGCGGAAGACUGAUGCAGCCAUGCCGCGUGUAUGAAGAAGGCUUUCUGGUUGUAUAUGACUUUCAGUGGGGAGGCGUUACCCGCAGAAGAAGCACCGGCUAACUCCGGGCCAGCAGCCGCGGUAAUAC
rnacentral:rRNA from 1 species